GAUGAACGCUAGCUACAGGCUUAACACAUGCAAGUCGAGGGGAAACGGCAUUGAGUGCUUGCACUCUUUGGACGUCGACCGGCGCACGGGUGAGUAACGCGUAUCCAACCUUCCCAUUACUGUGGGAUAACCUGCCGAAAGGCAGACUAAUACCGCAUAGUCUUCGAUGACGGCAUCAGAUUUGAAGUAAAGAUUUAUCGGUAAUGGAUGGGGAUGCGUCUGAUUAGCUUGUUGGCGGGGUAACGGCCCACCAAGGCUACGAUCAGUAGGGGUUCUGAGAGGAAGGUCCCCCACAUUGGAACUGAGACACGGUCCAAACUCCUACGGGAGGCAGCAGUGAGGAAUAUUGGUCAAUGGACGGAAGUCUGAACCAGCCAAGUAGCGUGCAGGAUGACGGCCCUAUGGGUUGUAAACUGCUUUUGUAUGGGGAUAAAGUUAGGGACGUGUCCCUAUUUGCAGGUACCAUACGAAUAAGGUCCGGCUAAUUCCGUG
rnacentral:rRNA from 1 species